rnacentral:pre_miRNA from 1 species
UUAACUCGAAUUUGUAUGGAGAUUGGAACGUUUGCCUACUCUUGCCGCUAGGGGCGCUGUUCCAAAUGCAUAGAAAUAUGACUUA